AAGGCUUAGGAUUAUGAUAAUUACUGAUUUAUCCCACAUACCAGUACGUAUACACCACACUGUGAUUUUUUUUCCUUUAAUAACAGUUGCCAGAGGGAAUAUCAUACCAAGAAGAUAUAUAUGGGCUACUACAGUACCUUUAUUACACAGGAGAUUUGAAAAGAGAUUUCAAGCUUGCCUGGUACCCGCAAAUGUUUGUGUUGCCUAGGACGCCAAGAUGGCUUGUAAAGCAAUCAGCCUCUCCCUAAAGGAACCCAGGACCUAUCUCGAAGGUAGAUUGCCUGACCUUGCAUCAACCCGAGUUUCAACCACAGCAAUUGGACAACAGGUGUAUGUGUUCCCGGCUCUGCACAGGUUCCCGGACACAUCUUAAUGGAGGUAUAUAAAACAAGAACAUCAGCAAGAUGUCUGGUCAGCUGGAUGUGGAUGUGGAUGUGGAUUUCAACAGGACAGAAAACAGGGAGUGUUCUAAGUGUUGGAACAGACCACGUGUACCCUGUUGGCCAUUCGGUUUUAUAUUGAAGGCUUGCAGUCCCUGGAAACCCUACAAUUUUUAUUUGAAAGCCCAAGCCCCAACCGAGUGAGAUGCCAGGUUAUGAGCAUAGUCUGACACGUACAGCAUAACAGUAGUAAAGCUGUUCAUUGAGUCUUCUAUGCAGGUACAUGUACAUUAAUUACCAGUAGUUAAUUUCCUAUAUUUUGAAGGCAGUUACAUGUAUUAUCAACAGUAGCAUACUGUUCUACAAACCUUAAUACUCUCUGCAUUUGUUGUAUUUUAGACUUAGGUUCAUGCCUAGAAUAUAACUUGCUUUUUCUUUGAUCUAAUUAAAAAUAUCUUAUCAAAUCAAUACAUAGGCAUACAAAUCUAAUAUUCAGAAUACUCACCAACUAAAAUUAUUUUAUCCUCAGCUUUUUCAAAAGUCCUAUAUACCAGCAUGAACCAUUGGACCAGGUGUCUCUGAGUAAAAUUUCUUUGAUUAUUAAUUCAGGAUUUCUCAAGCAAAGCAUGAGAUUCUUGAAGAGUUAAAUGGGCAGACUCAAGG